UCCAUGUAGAGCAGUGGAUAGCGCUUUGGAGUUCUAAACCAAAGGUGCCGGUUUCGAAUCCCGGCUGAAA